GAUCUUUCUGGAAAUUGUGCGCUAUGUACAGGAAUGCACAUCAUGGGUUUUUAAUGUUCUCUUCUUAGACAUUGUGGAAUUGUUUAAAAGCCUGCAUUGCAAAAUUGGGUUUCAGCGUCGAGGUUUUAGCCAGGGUGGUGAUGCCAUGCUAUGAUUUCCAUUAUCCUCCUCCUCUGAACUCAGUUGCUUAAUUUUAUUUAUUAUGUUGCAGAAAUGAUGGUGAGAAUGAUGGGCUCUUCUUAAGAGAAGCUCUUCAUCUUCUGAUGAUUAUGGUGAAAUCAGUAUUCAAUGGGCUAAGAAUUGGGCACUUUUUUUUCCCCCUCUUGUUUUGGAAGUUUGAUUACGUUUUUCAUAACUACCUGAUUGCCUAUAUUAAAGAUUUAGGUUCUAUAUGAAAAAUAGUAGUCUUCCAUUGUUUUUCAGAAACUUAUCAUUCUUCCUCUUGCUAAAGUGCUAGAAUGAAAAGUUUUAAGGUUGUUCUCCAGAUGGUUGUAAUGGUGAUCUUCACUGAAAAGGUCUUUGUAGAAUAUUUUUGUUAGCCAAAAAUUCUUUUAUUGUCAUACACGAUUAAACUCUUUGGUGUGCUCCACAUGAUUUUGUUCUUUUUGUCACGAAUUCAUGAUUUCUUGAGACAACCCUCCUCUCUCUCUCCCAUGAAUUUGAAUAACAAACUAAAACAAUUUGGAGAUAUCUCACUUUUAAAUUAUCUCAACUUUAGGCAAGUCUUUAGUAGCAUGACUGGUCAUCUUGUAUAAUUUCCUGUUCUUGUGUUAUGCUAUUGUAUUAUGUUUAUCAUAUUUGUUAUAUAUAGACUUUC
rnacentral:misc_RNA from 1 species